CCUACGGGUGGCAGCAGUGAGGAAUAUUGGUCAAUGGACGUAAGCCUGAACCAGCCAAGUCGCGUGCGGGAUGAAGGUUCUAUGGAUCGUAAACCUCUUUUGUAAGGGAAUAAAGUGCGGGACGUGUCCCGUGUUGUAUGUACCUUAUGAAUAAGGAUCGGCUAACUCCGUGCCAGCAGCCGCGGUAAUACGGAGGAUCCGAGCGUUAUCCGGAUUUAUUGGGUUUAAAGGGUGCGUAGGCGGCUUUUUAAGUUAGCGGUGAAAUUCUGGGGCUCAACCAUAGAAUUGCCGUUGAUACUGGGAGGCUGGAGGAUGUUUGAGGCAGGCGGAAUGUAUGGUGUAGCGGUGAAAUGCUUAGAGAUCACGCAGAACCCCGAUUGCGAAGGCAGCUUGCCAAGCCAUGACUGACGCUGAGGCACGAAAGCGUGGGGAUCAAACAGGAUUAGAUACCCUGGUAGUC
rnacentral:rRNA from 1 species